CUCUUUGACUUUGAACAUUCUGACCACUGGUUGUCCUCAUUCUUCGAAAGUAACGUCAUGGAAGCUCUAGACUAUAAAUGUGGUUCUUCUCUGCGAUGAACAACUACACUGCCACCAAAUCUCUAGGUUUAAUUGUUGUCAAGCUUGCCGACAUGCUCCUCCUUGAUGAGAAGGGCAGGUUCUCACCAGAACUGGAAAACUUGGGGUAGGAUCCAGAGACUCGAAGGUCUAAAAAGAUUCCAGACAAUGGUCGUUUUUGUGAUUUACUUCGGUCUGAUCCUGGUCAGAAGAAUCAAGGAUGGUCUGAUAUUGAUUGAGGAAUUUCCUGCACGUUUGAAGCCGAUGUAGUCAUUGAGUUCUUGGAUAAGAAUGAUUUUGAUCCCAUUUGCCAAGGCCAU